GUGCUUUCUUCGGCAGCACAUAUAUUAAAAUUGGAACUAUACACGGAUUAGCAUGGCCCCUGCACAUGCUAAAAAAGAGUAGAUAAAAAAGAAGUC
ensembl:snRNA U6 U6 spliceosomal RNA